AAGUCAUAACAAGGUUUCCGUAGGUGAACCUGCGGAAGGAUCAUUAAUGAUGCCCUCGACGCCUUUACCGGCUGGUAGGGUUUGGACGGUCUCUUUAGGGAGCAGGCCUAAUCUCACACACCGUGAACUGUGGCUUCGGCCAUUUACACAAACUGUUAGUAAUGAAUGUCAUAUCAUAACAAACAUAAAACUUUUAACAACGGAUCUCUUGGCUCUC
rnacentral:misc_RNA from 1 species